UAUAGUUUAUUUGAUAACUACUUCACUACUUGGAUACCCGUAGUAAUUCUAGAGCUAAUACAUGCGUACACGCCCAACUCACGACGGGCGGUAUUUAUUAGAUAUAAACCAGCGCGCCCCCUCGGGGGCGGAGCCUGUGGUGAGUCAUAAUAACUGUUUCGGAUCGCAGUGGCCUUCGCGCCGGCGAUGAAUCAUUCAAGUUUCUGCCCUAUCAGCUUUCGAUGGUAGUGUAUUGGACUACCAUGGCGGUAACGGGUAACGAAGAAUAAGGGUUCGAUUUAGGGGAGGGAGCCUGAGAGACGGCUACCACA
rnacentral:rRNA from 1 species